UGGGGGAUAUUGCACAAUGGGCGAAAGCCUGAUGCAGCGACGCCGCGUGGGGGAUGAAGGCCUUCGGGUUGUAAACUUCUUUUGCUCUGAACAAGGCGCACCAUGGGGUGUGUUGAGUGUAGGGGUUGAUUAGCGCCGGCUAACUACGUGCCAGCAGCCGCGGUAAUACGUAGGGCGCGAGCGUUGUCCGGAAUUAUUGGGCGUAAAGGGCGUGUAGGUGGCUGGUUGCGUCUGUCGUGAAAGCUCAUGGCUUAACUGUGGGUUUGCGGUGGGUACGGGCUGGCUUGAGUGCAGUAGGGGAGGCUGGAAUUCCUGGUGUAGCGGUGGAAUGCGCAGAUAUCAGGAGGAAUACCGGUGGCGAAGGCGGGUCUCUGGGCUGUUACUGACACUGAGGAGCGAAAGCAUGGGGAGCGAACAGG
rnacentral:rRNA from 1 species